UUUUCUGAUCUGAACUGAUGAAGAAAUGAAGUUUCCGCUGACAGUUUGUGUGUUUCUGCUGACGGUGAGCAGGUCACUGUCUGUGGACAUUACAGUGAGAGGAACGGAGGGAGAACCGGUGAGCAUUAACUGCCCUUAUCCAGGAGGAUAUGAAAACUCUUACAAAUACUUCUACAAAGGAGUUUACAGAGAGAGUGUCCUUAUACUACAAUCUCAUGGAAAAAAGUCCUCACCCAGAUUCUCACUGCAGGAUGAUCAUAAGACCAGAUCAUUUACAGUGACCAUCAGUGACCUGAAGAUGGAAGAUGCUGGAACAUACGGCUGUAUCGCUGGAUGGGGAGAAUAUAAACAAAUCCAGCUGAAUGUGAUCAGAGCUCCACAGAGGCCAAAACCUGUCCAGAUCUCAACAUCCACCAUUCGUCCGCAUACAAACACCAGCACUGAACACGCCAGCACUGAA